rnacentral:rRNA from 1 species
GCAGGCGCGAAACCUUUACACUGCACGCAAGUGCGAUAAGGGGACUCCGAGUGCGAGGGCAUAUCGUCCUCGCUUUUCUGUACCGUAGGGUGGUACAGGAACAAGAGCUGGGCAAGACCGGCGCCAGCCGCCGCGGUAAUACCGGCAGCUCAAGUGAUGGCCGAUCUUAUUGGGCCUAAAGCGUCCGUAGCCGGCCUCGCAAGUCCGUCGGGAAAUCCACGCGCCCAACGCGUGGGCGUCCGGCGGAAACUCCGAGGCUUGGGACCAGAAGGCUCGAGGGGUACGUCCGGGGUAGGAGUGAAAUCCCGUAAUCCCGGACGGACCACCGAUGGCGAAAGCACCUCGAGAAGACGGAUCCGACGGUGAGGGACGAAAGCUCGGGUCUCGAACCGGAUUAGAUACCCGGGUAGUCCGAGCCGUAAACGAUGUUCGCUAGGUGUGGCACUGGCUACGAGCCAGUGCUGUGCCGUAGGGAAGCCGAGAAGCGAACCGCCUGGGAAGUACGUCCGCAAGGAUGAAACUUAAAGGAAUUGGCGGGGGAGCACUACAACCGGAGGAGCCUGCGGUUUAAUUGGAUUCAACGCCGG